ACAUUCUUUCAGAUGCCAGAGGAUGCUAUAGAAAAAUGCGUGCCCUCUUGUAAUACUUUGUUCAAGUUCUGAUCAGAAGGAUGAAUGAUGGAGCCCAAGAAGCCAGAGUCUCAUUGUGUUGCUCAGGCUGGAAUCCAGUGGCAUGAUCUCGGCUCAGUGCAACCUCCGCCUCCUGGGUUCAAGCAGUUCUCCUAGAUCAGCAUCAGCGUCCCGAGUAGCUGGGAUUACAGGCACCCGCCACCAUGCCUGGCUAAUGUUGGUCAGGCUGGCUCGAACUCCUGACCUCAAGAGAUCCACCUGCUUUGGCCUCCCAAAGUGCUCGGAUUACAGGCAUGAGCUGCCACACCCAGCCUCCAAAUACUUUUUUUUUAAAUCAAAAUAAUGAUUUCAAUGACUGAGAUCUGUUAUGUAUUUCAACAUAAUCAUGUUUCAUAAAGAUUUAGUCUUCUGA
rnacentral:lncRNA from 1 species